AGUGAACGCUGGCGGUAGGCCUAACACAUGCAAGUCGAACGGCCGCACAGUAAGCGCUUGCUCUUACGGGUGGCGAGUGGCGGACGGGUGAGGAAUACAUCGGAAUCUACUUUUUCGUGGGGGAUAACGUAGGGAAACUUACGCUAAUACCGCAUACGACCUACGGGUGAAAGCAGGGGAUCUUCGGACCUUGCGCGAUUGUAUGAGCCGAUGUCGGAUUAGCUAGUUGGCGGGGUAAAGGCCCACCAAGGCGACGAUACGUAGCUGGUCUGAGAGGAUGAUCAGCCACACUGGAACUGAGACACGGUCCAGACUCCUACGGGAGGCAGCAGUGGGGAAUAUUGGACAAUGGGCGCAAGCCUGAUCCAGCCAUACCGCGUGAGUGAAGAAGGCCUUCGGGUUGUAAAGCCCUUUUGUUGGGAAAGAAAAGCAGCAGGUUAAUACCCCGCUGUUCUGACGGUACCCAAAGAAUAAGCACCGGCUAACUUCGUG
rnacentral:rRNA from 1 species